rnacentral:rRNA from 1 species
AGAGUUUGAUCCUGGCUCAGGAUGAACGCUAGCGGCAGGCUUAACACAUGCAAGUCGAGGGGUAACAUUGUAGCUUGCUACAGAUGACGACCGGCGCACGGGUGCGUAACGCGUAUACAAUCUACCUUUUGCUGAGGGAUAGCCCAGAGAAAUUUGGAUUAACACCUCAUGGUAUUAUAGAACUGCAUGGUUUUAUAAUUAAAGGUUACGGCAAGAGAUGAGUAUGCGUCCUAUUAGCUAGAUGGUAAGGUAACGGCUUACCAUGGCAACGAUAGGUAGGGGCCCUGAGAGGGGGAUCCCCCACACUGGUACUGAGACACGGACCAGACUCCUACGGGAGGCAGCAGUGAGGAAUAUUGGGCAAUGGAGGCAACUCUGACCCAGCCAUGCCGCGUGCAGGAAGACUGCCCUAUGGGUUGUAAACUGCUUUUAUACAGGAAGAAACAGCUCUACGUGUAGAGCCUUGACGGUACUGUAAGAAUAAGGAUCGGCUAACUCCGUGCCAGCAGCCGCGGUAAUACGGAGGAUCCAAGCGUUAUCCGGAAUCAUUGGGUUUAAAGGGUCCGUAGGUGGAUAAUUAAGUCAGAGGUGAAAUCCUGCAGCUCAACUGUAGAAUUGCCUUUGAAACUGGUUAUCUUGAGUCAUUAUGAAGUGGUUAGAAUGUGUAGUGUAGCGGUGAAAUGCAUAGAUAUUACAUAGAAUACCGAUUGCGAAGGCAGUCUACUAAGUGUUUACUGACGCUGAUGGACGAAAGCGUGGGGAGCGAACAGGAUUAGAUACCCUGGUAGUCCACGCCGUAAAUGAUGGUCACUAGUUGUUGGGGCGCAAGCUUCAGUGAUUAAUAGAAAUUGAUAAGUGACCCACCUGGGGAGUACGAUCGCAAGAUUGAAACUCAAAGGAAUUGACGGGGGCCCGCACAAGCGGU